ensembl:lncRNA
GUUAGUAGUCCCAGCACAUUCAUUAAUGAAGUUGGGUAUGAGUGUUAGCUUUAACAAAGUAAUCCUAUGACUUCUAUGAAUGUUCUGUAAAGAAUCUUGGACAUUUUUAAAGCUGUUUGAGAGAGAUGUUGGGGAUCCUUGUAGUAAAUACUAGGGAUUCAAAGACGGAAGACAGCCUAGGAAGACUGGAGCAAGUAUUAGUAGCACGAGAAAUCUGUGUGAACAAUAAGGACCCCAAGAUGUACUUUACUGCCCUCAGAGGAGGACUUUAAAAAUGAGAAUUUUUCCAUGAUGUUUCAUAUAAAAAUGUUGGUGUCACCGGUUCACUUGGAACAAUCGCCUGGAAGAAGGGAAAAAGAGGCCUUACUUACUCAAGGAGGAGCAGGCUGCCAGAGUGUGUGAGACCUGACUAGUGCCUUGCUGGCCUCAGCUCCGCCAUUGCAUGUUCAUCUGAACUAGGACCCAAGGGUACUUGGAGAAGGUGUUGGGUGCGGAUUUCUACAAACUGCCAAGGGCUACAGCAAUGAGAACUCUCUCAGCGGUAGACCUGCUUCAGCAUGAAGGACUGCACUUAAAGGGAUGCAUACUAUUCCAGCUCAAGCAACAGAUACUGAAGUGCAGAUCACUGUCCUUUGUUGAAAAGGAUCAGCAGUUUGUCAACAUAGGUAACACGCCAGAGCAAGCCUUGGGAUGCAACUCUGAAAACAGGUUAGGCCCUCUUUUCCCCA